UAAUGUAAUAGAAAAAGGAAGUCUUGCGCUAACAAGACUUCCCGUGCAAGCCGCUUCAAAGGCGGUGGCAAGUUAUUCAAACGAUAAUUUU
rnacentral:sRNA from 1 species